CUAGCACUUUCACAGGUCCUCCCCGAUGCAGUGGGGCUAGGAUUUGGUAGCUGGUGCUGAGAGAAAACCCUUGACUGCGUCCAUGCCCUGGGAAUAUACCAGUGGCGCCUGUCAGUCAGAGGGACAGAG
ensembl:snoRNA